UCAUUUUAGCGCAUUUUCACCCGCGGAACGGAGAGCUCAUGGUUGGUUUUGAGGCUAAUAAUUCUAUCUAUGCUGCAAACAUUUAUGACGUUCAAAUUGUACAUAAAUGUCCGAGCAAAAAUACAAAUAUAAGCCCAUGAAAUAUAUUCUGCCCUAACGAAUCGGAAUCACUCGAUCCUAAAAUUUCGGUUUUUUUUCUCGCUUACUCUUUGUCUGAUUUUCUGGUAGGGAGAACAACGAAAAAUAUUCGUUGAGAUAGAGACUUGUAUCAAGUGUUCUUAAGUGAAAAGUUUUCAAAUCCACCAAAUCAAUAUGAAAGUCAAAUAAUACAUAUGGUAUUUGAGGAUCUGAAAACUCUGGACCAUUUGACCCGGCGGCUAUUCGCACUCGUUUAUUCGCCCAACGAACUAGAUAUCCCACGGAUAGUUGGCUUUGUGGCUAAUGAUUGCUCCUAUCCGCCGUGGCAUAUGUCUUUCGAAUUGUACAUAAGCCACAGCACAUAGGAUAAACCAAAAGCCCUCUCUGGCAGGUUUGCAGACUCACUAAAAUCAGAAAGGGAUAUGGGAUAUAUACGUAUAUAUCCCAUGGAAGAAUGAAAAAGGUUUCAGUUAUCGCAAGAAAUAUUCAUAUUAUAGGAGUGGAAACGCACCAAGGAGUUGUUUGAUCAGAAUUAAAUAUAUAUGUAGAUAUGGCAUAUAGUCGAGAUAUGGGCAAAAUGUCGGGUGUGGUGGGUUCGGGCGCGUUAUUAUAUACCAACGAGGAUUACAGAUCAUUUUAGCGCACUUUCACCCGCGGAACGGAGAGCUCAUGGUUGGUUUUGGGGCUAAUAAUUCUAUUUAUGCUGCAACCAUCUAUGACGUUCAAAUUGUACAUAAAUGUCCGAGCAAAAAUACAAAUAUAAGCCCAUGAAAUAUAUUCUGCCCUAACGAAUCGGAAUCACUCGAUCCUAAAAUUUCGGUUUUUUUUUUCUCGCUUACUCUUUGUCUGAUUUUCUGGUAGGGAGAACAACGAAAAAUAUUCGUUGAUUGAUACUUGUAUCGAGUAUUCUAGCUUUAAGAUAUAAACAAAACCUAAGAACUGGGACACUUUAUAAGGUCCAAAGUUGUCCUGAGCUCCAUUAAUCCGAAAAGAAUAUCCACUCUCGGAACGGAUGUCUUAUAGAUGGUUUGGUGGUAAAUAAUUUACCUGUUGCUCAGUUCUAUAUAGUAUAAAUAAACAAAGCAUAUAGAGCCGAGAGCCAGGAAAGCUAUAGACCAUUUGUAUAGACCAAUUGAUUGUUGAUGGAGGAGUCAGGGAAUGUCAUAUUUAUCAAUGCAUAGAUCUUAAAUCUGUGCAGGGGAAUCUGUAAAAACGAUUGAUAUUAUGAGAGUGGAAUGAGAGUUCGUCAAAUUAAAUCGAUUCUCCCAUUAUCAGCAUCAUCAUUAAUUCCUGGGAAGGGUAGGUGCGAAAUUGAGAACAAAACAAAGCUUGUAAUCAUAAUCGGAAAUGCUCCUCCACUCCACCUGCAGCUCCUUCGCGUUUGGUGUGGAAUCGGAUCGGGGUUAGAUCGCUGCCUGAUAUCGCCUGAUAGGCGGCCGAUCAGUCGAUUAUGUGAGCACACGGUUAACGAUGAACGGUGAACGGUGAACGGUUGACGGUUAACAGUUAGCAGCUCGAACUAAUCGCAGCUCGGAACUUUUGUUUGUUUUCGCAGCGCGUUGACAACACAUCCAGCAGCAAUCCACUAUCUUUGGGUCCGCCGGCCGCACGUUUAAUCGCCUUUUAAAUCAUUUACGAGGCAAAUUAGCACUUGAACCUUAUACAACUCGAAAUCCAUCCGAAAGCGAACCCAUUAAACAUCAAGCAUCAAGCACCAAACACCAAACAAUAAAUUAUCUUCCUCUGAGGCUGGAAUGCUGCAAAAAAACAACAUGACUCUCAAGAACCUUGUUGUCAGGGGCCGCGACGGCGAAAUAUGUACAUGUGAUGCGAUGGAACAGCCCCAGACCAUGAUCGAAGCGCCACCAUCUUCAACGGUGGAGGACGUCGUACAUAUAGUUUACCAUCCCUUCUAAAGACAUUAAACUUUCAAAAAUUGGGACCUUUGUGAAUAUGCUCUGUGGCGCAUUUUAACACCUUGUAGAUUCAAUACCAAAGCGUUGCUCCACUGUUCUUAAGCAGAGAGGUCAUCGCACUCAAUAUUAAAGUAAAUUUAUUAAAAAUACGACGAAUACUGCUCAGCUUUUAACUUUUUUAAGUGGCUUAAGUAUAUGAGCAUGACAUUUUGGAGAUGGUUUCAGAUUUUUAAAAUAUUUCCCUGAAUAUAUAUUUUCAUAACUUGGUUAUUGUUGUACUAGAACGCACACUAGCUUAAGUCUAUGAGCCCCACUGUAUACAUAUGUAUCUCUGAAGUGUCAUAUAUUCUAUUCUGGACACAAGUGCGCACUUAUUUGGUCUCUGAAGCACUUGAAAAUAUCGAACAACGACAGAUCGUAGGACACCUAUGUAGAUAUACUCGUAUGUAUAUUAUUUUUGGAUGAAAAUGGCAGAAUGGUACAUAAAAAACACGCCGAGUAUAUCCCUCCACCAGGCAUCCCAGUCUUAAGAUAUCGAACCACUUUAAAUAUUGGAAUACCCGACGAACGUGCGAGCUUCAAUGAAUAGGCAUACAUACAUAUAUGUCUUGGGGUUGGGAUGUAUAUGUGGUGAAAAGUUUUCAAAUCCACCAAAUCAAUAUGAAAGUCAAAUAAUACAUAUGGUAUUUGAGGAUCUGAAAA
rnacentral:sRNA from 1 species